rnacentral:snoRNA from 2 species
AGAGCAGGGAUAGUGUGUAUCGGUGUUGUGCUAUGAUCAAUGCAUUCUUCCGAAAGUGUUCCCUAGCAAUAUCAAUUUGAGAGAAUGGGCAGUUGUGUUUCAUCUUUUAUGGUUGAAAAUCACAACAAUCAUUUUCACUACAUCU